rnacentral:rRNA from 1 species
UACUCGAGUGGCGAACGGGUGAGUAACACGUGGGUGAUCUGCCCUGCACUUCGGGAUAAGCCUGGGAAACUGGGUCUAAUACCGGAUAGGAGCCAUUUUUAGUGUGAUGGUUGGAAAGUUUUUUCGGUGUAGGAUGAGCUCGCGGCCUAUCAGCUUGUUGGUGGGGUAAUGGCCUACCAAGGCGGCGACGGGUAGCCGGCCUGAGAGGGUGGACGGCCACAUUGGGACUGAGAUACGGCCCAGACUCCUACGGGAGGCAGCAGUGGGGAAUAUUGCACAAUGGGCGCAAGCCUGAUGCAGCGACGCCGCGUGGGGGAUGACGGCCUUCGGGUUGUAAACUCCUUCGCUAGGGACGAAGCUUUUUGUGACGGUACCUAGAUAAGAAGCACCGGCUAACUACGUGCCAGCAGCCGCGGUAAUACGUAGGGUGCGAGCGUUGUCCGGAAUUACUGGGCGUAAAGGGCUCGUAGGUGGUUUGUCGCGUCGUCUGUGAAAUUCCGGGGCUUAACUCCGGGCGUGCAGGCGAUACGGGCAUAACUUGAGUACUGUAGGGGUAACUGGAAUUCCUGGUGUAGCGGUGAAAUGCGCAGAUAUCAGGAGGAACACCGAUGGCGAAGG